GUAGGUGGCAAGCGUUGUCCGGAAUUAUUGGGCGUAAAGCGCGCGCAGGCGGUCCUUUAAGUCUGAUGUGAAAGCCCACGGCUCAACCGUGGAGGGUCAUUGGAAACUGGGGGACUUGAGUGCAGAAGAGGAAAGCGGAAUUCCACGUGUAGCGGUGAAAUGCGUAGAGAUGUGGAGGAACACCAGUGGCGAAGGCGGCUUUCUGGUCUGUAACUGACGCUGAGGCGCGAAAGCGUGGGGAGCAAACAGGAUUAGAUACCCUGGUAGUCCACGCCGUAAACGAUGAGUGCUAAGUGUUAGAGGGUUUCCGCCCUUUAGUGCUGCAGCUAACGCAUUAAGCACUCCGCCUGGGGAGUACGGCCGCAAGGCUGAA
rnacentral:rRNA from 1 species